GAACGAACGCUGGCGGCAGGCCUAACACAUGCAAGUCGAGCGCUUACCUUCGGGUAGGAGCGGCGGACGGGUUAGUAACGCGUGGGAAUAUACCCUUCACUACGGAAUAGCCUCGGGAAACUGAGAGUAAUACCGUAUACGCCCUUCGGGGGAAAGAUUUAUCGGUGAAGGAUUAGCCCGCGUAAGAUUAGAUAGUUGGUGGGGUAAUGGCCUACCAAGUCUACGAUCUUUAGCUGGUUUUAGAGGAUGAUCAGCAACACUGGGACUGAGACACGGCCCAGACUCCUACGGGAGGCAGCAGUGGGGAAUCUUGGACAAUGGGCGCAAGCCUGAUCCAGCCAUGCCGCGUGUGUGAUGAAGGCCUUAGGGUCGUAAAGCACUUUCGCCAGAGAUGAUAAUGACAGUAUCUGGUAAAGAAACCCCGGCUAACUCCGUGCCAGCAGCCGCGGUAAUACGGAGGGGGUUAGCGUUGUUCGGAAUUACUGGGCGUAAAGCGCACGUAGGCGGAUUAGUCAGUCAGAGGUGAAAUCCCAGGGCUCAACCCUGGAACUGCCUUUGAUACUGCUAGUCUUGAGUUCGAGAGAGGUGAGUGGAAUUCCGAGUGUAGAGGUGAAAUUCGUAGAUAUUCGGAGGAACACCAGUGGCGAAGGCGGCUCACUGGCUCGAUACUGACGCUGAGGUGCGAAAGUGUGGGGAGCAAACAGGAUUAGAUACCCUGGUAGUCCACACCGUAAACGAUGAAUGCCAGUCGUCGGGCAGUAUACUGUUCGGUGACACACCUAACGGAUUAAGCAUCCGC
rnacentral:rRNA from 1 species